rnacentral:rRNA from 1 species
GAGCCCGUGAAUCCGGACGGCGGAAUUCAAAGUUGUCGGGCGCGGUGUGCGUUCACGCGCACAAGCGCGUUCGGCGGCUUGAUAUUUCCGUCGUCGUGCGGACGUCGCGACCUGUUCGGUGCCGGUCCCUGCUCGGAGGAGUCGCGCGAUCCAGUUCGCUGUGUGCGCGUUCGGUGCGUUUCGGCGUGCCGCGCGCGUCACGGUGAAGGCGCGGCCUUCUGGCCGGCUCGCCGGACAGUAUGUGUAUCAGCGGUGUCCGGCGUCGUUCCAAGUUACCUCGUGUACGCGAYGCCGGUGCCAGUCGGCGACGACUUCAUCGGGCCUCUUUCCGA